rnacentral:lncRNA from 1 species
GUUCUUUCAAGUAGCUACAGAUGCUUCUGAGGUUUGCCUUGAUGACUCGGGCCUGAGAUCCAGGAUGGUUUGUUCUUGGGACCAGACAUGACCAAAAGUUGACCUCAUGACCACGUCAACCUCUCCAGCUGCCAUGCUUCUCCGGAGGCUUCGGCGACUUUCCUGGGGCAGCACCGCUGUGCAGCUCUUCAUUCUAACUGUGGUGACAUUUGGCUUACUGGCCCCUCUGGCCUGCCACCGACUCCUCCACUCAUACUUCUAUCUGCGCCACUGGCAUCUAAACCAGAUGAGUCAAGAUUUCCUGCAGCAGAGCCUGAAGGAGGGCGA